rnacentral:rRNA from 1 species
GAUCCUGGCUCAGGACGAACGCUGGCGGCGCGCCUAACACAUGCAAGUCGAGCGAUGAAAUUUCAACAGAACUCUUCGGAGUGACGAUGAAAUGGAUUAGCGGCGGACGGGUGAGUAACACGUGAGAAACCUGCCUUUCACAAGGGGAUAGCCUCGGGAAACCGGGAUUAAUACCCUAUGACACACUUCCUUCGCAUGGAGGAGAUGUUAAAACUCCGGUGGUGAAAGAUGGUCUCGCGU